rnacentral:lncRNA from 1 species
AUGUCCAGCCGCAGAUGCCAGGUGCUCCAGUCAGCAAGCCGUGGUGGCCACCUGGGAGCUGGGCCAGCAGCAAAACUGUGGCAAAUGCUCCAGAGGAAGGGGUGCUGGGUCCAAGCCCCGGGACGCAGUUGGAGGUGGGCAGAGGCUGAGCUACAGACCGACAGCAGGGUCCUGCAGCAUGCAGAUCGGGCCCCUCCGUGGGCUUCUGGAAGGAGGACAGAGGUCACUGCCUGGAUUUUGUUGCCAAAUGGAUGCACGGUGACAGCCUUUCUAAAUGCUUCGUGUGAGGCAACAGUGAGGCGAUGCUUUGAUAGCAAGAGUCGAGAUGGGGCUCCAGACCUGGAGGGGUACUCUGGGGCAUCUUGCUUUCCUCUGUGUUUGUUUCUCUCCAUCAGCACAUGUUUGUGGCACAUUCUGAUUACACUCACUGUGGGCAGUAGAUUUAUGGAGCCCAAGACACCUGGUGAGCUUUGGAAUGUCCCCUAGUCUUCAGUUCUCUACCUCUAACACAAACAUGGAAACUGCUGUGACGUUCAACUUGCAGGAAUGUCUCUGUCUAAACAACCACAGGGAUGAGCCCCAGGGGUCAAGGUCAUUGCGAGCUCUGGCCAGAGACCAAGAAGCAGACACCUGGACAAAGAGGACCCUGCUCAGCGCACAGCCUUCCGGCCCUGUUCCUCCUUUUCUCCUGCUAUCCAAUCCCUUUGUGCCCUGAGUAAGUGUGACGUCACUGGCCCCUAAAAUUUUCAAUUUGCCAGCCCUUGAGUACCUGGAUUCCUCCCAAUGAAUUUACAGCUCCUUAAUAUUGGCUUUUGAGUGGUGAGCAGUCCAGACCUAGUUCUGUCACAAUCGAGCCCUGCCACCUGGAAAAUACCCUAAACAUAGUUUGCUGUGUCUUUG